UGGGGAAUAUUGCACAAUGGAGGGAACUCUGAUGCAGCAACGCCGCGUGCGGGAUGACGGCCUUCGGGUUGUAAACCGCUUUCAGCCAUGACGAAGCUUUUGUGACGGUAGUGGUAGAAGAAGCACCGGCUAACUACGUGCCAGCAGCCGCGGUGAUACGUAGGGUGCGAGCGUUGUCCGGAAUUAUUGGGCGUAAAGAGCUUGUAGGCGGUUUGUCGCGUCGAAAGUGUAAACUCAGUGCUUAACGCUGAGCCUGCUUUCGAUACGGGCUGACUAGAGGAGGGUAGGGGAGAAUGGAAUUCCCGGUGGAGCGGGGGAAUGCGCAGAUAUCGGGAGGAACACCAGUGGCGAAGGCGGUUCUCUGGACCUUUCCUGACGCUGAGAAGCGAAAGCGUGGGUAGCAAACAGG
rnacentral:rRNA from 1 species